GAUGAACGCUGGCGGCGUGCCUAAUACAUGCAAGUCGAGCGAACAGAUGAGGAGCUUGCUCCUCUGACGUUAGCGGCGGACGGGUGAGUAACACGUGGAUAACCUACCUAUAAGACUGGGAUAACUUCGGGAAACCGGAGCUAAUACCGGAUAAUAUAUUGAACCGCAUGGUUCAAUAGUGAAAGACGGUUUUGCUGUCACUUAUAGAUGGAUCCGCGCCGCAUUAGCUAGUUGGUAAGGUAACGGCUUACCAAGGCAACGUUGCGUAGCCGACCUGAGAGGGUGAUCGGCCACACUGGAACUGAGACACGGUCCAGACUCCUACGGGAGGCAGCAGUAGGGAAUCUUCCGCAAUGGGCGAAAGCUUGACGGAGCAACGCCGCGUGAGUGAUGAAGGUCUUCGGAUCGUAAAACUCUGUUAUUAGGGAAGAACAAAUGUGUAAGUAACUAUGCACGUCUUGACGGUACCUAAUCAGAAAGCCACGGCUAACUACGUG
rnacentral:rRNA from 1 species